rnacentral:rRNA from 1 species
CGACAGUGCGAUAGGGGGAUUCCGAGUGCGAGGGCAUACAGUCCUCGCUUUUCUGGACCGUAAGGAGGUCCAAGAAUAAGGGCUGGGCAAGACCGGUGCCAGCCGCCGCGGUAAUACCGGCAGCCCGAGUGAUGGCCGAUAUUAUUGGGCCUAAAGCGUUCGUAGCCGGCCAGACAAGUCUGUUGGGAAAUCCACGCGCUCAACGCGUGGGCGUCCAGCGGAAACUGUCUGGCUUGGGGCCGGAGGACUCGAGGGGUACGUCCGGGGUAGGAGUGAAAUCCCGUAAUCCUGGACGGACCACCGGUGGCGAAAGCGCCUCGAGAGGACGGACCCGACGGUGAGGAACGAAAGCCAGGGUCUCGAACCGGAUUAGAUACCCGGGUAGUCCUGGCCGUAAACGAUGUCUGCUAGGUGUGGCACAGGCUACGAGCCUGUGCUGUGCCGCAGGGAAGCCGUGAAGCAGACCGC